UGCCAUCUACAAACGCAGUUAAAGUCAAGGUGAUGAGGAGACUGAAGUUGGGCUCAGACGUCCCCCUCUCUCCUCCUGUUCUGACUCUCUUGUCUCCGUCCGCUGAGGCUCUGAAGGAGAGUAAAGCUACACUCGUGUGUCUGGCUGAGGAUAUUUCAGUAGCUCUGGUGCACGUCACCUGGUCAGUCAACGGUCGCUCCGUCACAGAUGGAGUCUGGAGCAGUCCUACUGAGAAACAGCAGAACAAAACCUUCAAAAUGAGCAGCUAUCUGACCAUCGAGGCGUCUGACUGGACGGACAAUGCAGAUUUCUCCUGUGAGGUGUCAGUGGGGUCCAAAUUCACUAAGAAAAGUAUCUCAGCUUCACAGUGCUGAAAAAGUGUCUGAAUCUAAAUGUCAGCUGUUAUGCCUUUAUUUCUUUUCAUGUUUGUGAACGGGUGUAUCUGACAUUGACUAUGACUAUGUGCUUCAGUUUUGGGUUUUGAUUCUGCAAAAAUAAAAAUCUUUGGCAUGA